rnacentral:rRNA from 1 species
GGUUUUCUGCUUGUUUAUCUCUUUUUUAGGGAAGGAGCUAAGUUCUUGGAUUGGUUGGUUUCUUAGACGGUUCCUCACCGAGAUAGUCAGGGCCAAGUACGUGUCCAGCAGACGUGGUAAUAUGUAGGCUGGCUAGCGUUGUCGGGAAUUAUAGGGCGUAAAGCGCGCGCUGCGGUUUGUUAAGUCUGAUGUGAAAGCCCCGGCUCUACCGGGGGAGGGUCAUUGGGGAUUGGGGAACUUGAGUGCAGCAGAGGAGAGUGGACUUACACGUGAAGCGGUGAAAUGAGUAUAGAUUUGGCGGAACACCUUCGUCGAAGGCGACUCUCUUUUCGUAACCGACGUUGAGUCCCGAUAGUUUUUGGGGGAACAGGUUCACAUAUCUCGAUUGUCCAUCCCGUAUCGGCGAGUGCUAAGUGUUAGAGGGUUUCCACCCUUCAGUGCUGCAGCUAACGCCUUAAACACUCGGCCUGGGGAGUCCGGUUGCAAGACUUAAAGUCAAAGGAAUGGAAGGGGGCCCGCACAAGCGGUGGAGCAUGUGGUUUAUUUGGACCAAUGCGAAGGACCUUACCAGGUCCUGACCUCCUAGACAACCCUCAGAAAGGUUUCCCCUUCGGGGGCAGAGUGACAGGUGGUGUUUGGCCUUGUCAAAGAUUGUUUGAGAUGUUGGGUUAAGUCCCGCAACGAGCUCAACCCUCCCAGUUUUUGCCAGCAUUCAGUUGGGCACUCUAAGGUGACUGCCGUUGACAAACCGGAGGAAGGUGGGGAUGAGUCAAAUCAUCGUGCCCCUUAUAACUUGGGCUACACGCCUCCUACAAUGGGCAGACCAAAGGGUUCAGAAGCCGUGAGGGUAAACCAAUCCCACACAUGAUUCUCAGUUUGGAUCGCAGUGGCAACUCGAGUGCGGAAGCGGAAUCGCUAGAAUCGAGAAGCCUUCGCUUCUCU